CUUUUACUUAUAGUUGAUAUUUUGUCCAUACCUGUCGCCGCAAUCACGCACGCUCUUGAGAUAGAUGAGAUAGGUUUUUAAGCUUAGUAUUUCUUUUUAUAUUUGUCGAACAGCGUUUUCUUACAAAGUCUUUACUUAAGCCUUGAAACCAAAAUUAGCACGUUGAAAGUUUAUUAAAUUAUAUUCGUUUGUAGAAAUUAAAAACUAACCUCUAAAUAUGAGUUUAAUCGAAAGAUUUUAACGCAUCAAGAAAUAAAGCGAAUUAAAUUAUUUUUAAAAUAAAGCAUAAUAACUUGAAGAAGCUGAUACUGGAACCUUUCCAUUAUAUUAUUCGUUCUAAUUAAUUGGUUUUAUUAAUAGUACUACUUACUCUUAAUUAUUUUUAUUAGCUAUUAUUAUAUCCAAAAUACAUUUCAUUUCAGAUCGACAUUUAAUAAGACGUUUUUACUUGAUAUGACGCAGUAUUUUACAAGGGAAUGUACUAUAUUUAUCAUUGAAAGAGGAUCAAAAUAAAGUCUGGAAGACCAUAUUGUUAAAAUGUGGGAAGGCCAGAAGAUUUCUAGAAAGAAUAAUAAUGGAUCUGAGUCACAAUCGUUAAUCAGAGAAUUGACAAAAUGUUUUAAAAGAAGUAUCCUAUUAAUUGAUAAUAUUCUAGCAUUGAAUUGGCCAAUCAUUGAUGCUCAGCAAUCUAUUAUUUCAUUUAAGAAUAAAAAAUGAUGACGUCGAUCCAGAAAUGUAUCAUUAUGUAUUGGAUUAUUACUAUGCUAAGGAAAUGAACGCAACAAAGAAAUAUUCCAUUGUGCAAUAGAUUGGACUGGCUUUCAAUUGGUAUGUACCAGGAGUCUGUAUCUUCAUCUCGAUUCUGUUUUCGCUGGUUCUCAACAAGAAUAUCGCCACGAUAAGAUCAUGCCUCAACAAACUGUUCAAUCCUCCAUGAUUACUGGAUUUUCAUUGAAUAAGAACGGUUAUUAUUCUUAUGAAAAUAGAAAAGAAAAAUAUCUUAGGGUUCAGGGAUACCAUUCGAUAAUAUGUAUUCGUCAGUUAGUCGAUGGUUUCUUGUCGAAAAAUUCAUUAUAUUCUCUACAGAAAAAUUCAUUAUGUACGCAAAGAUUGAGAAAAGCAAGAAAACUAUCCAAGAGAUCAUCGGGAUCAUCUGAAAGAAUAUUGAAGAGCAUAGAGAUGAAGACAGAGUAAAUUUAUUUAUCGAAUUUGCUUAGCCUUAUAACAAUCAUAGAAGAGGAGAAAAGCAGUUUAUUACAAAUGAUGCUUAAAGAGAAUGUCACUGAAGAUUGUGUGGAAACCAAUGAAUCGUUGAUGAAAGAAGGAUAAGAUAUGAACCACGUUCUUGUAUCAAUCUUGCUAUGGCAAUCUAUCCUCACACGUACGUUUAUCUAUUCAAUGGAUCAUCUUGGCGGUAGACGCUUCGUUUCCAAGCUUUUUAUGGAAAAGAACAAAAAGUCCACGUGCUACAGCAUCAUCGAAGGUUCGGGAGAUAUCUAUAAUAUCUAUAAUAACGAUAGUAGGAAGCGUAAACCAAAGCAUUGGCUUAUUUGAGAUUUUUAUUUGGCGAUAAAUUGAACGAUUGGAACGAAAAAGUGAUUAAAUUUAUUGUUAGGUUUUUCAUUAACUAAUUAUUUAUCAUGUUAUGAAUAAAAGUUCGAUCACUGAAUACGUAAGCCAUCAUUCUAAUGUCUAUAGCAUUAAACGCUGAGAAAAUUUUCAUCACCGAAUUCGACAAUUAUUUUUUUCGAAUUAAAAGAAGUAAGCGAAUAGAUGAUUGCCGGAUUGUAUUCUCGAAUGUUUGAAGGAAGUAUGAAUUAAAGAGUCAGCUGAAGAUUCAAUUUAACGUGUAUGAUUUGUCCAGUCGUUAGGAACAAAAUAAGAUCUAGUUUUAUUAAUUACAUUUGAAUCUUUUUAAUAUUUAAUAAAAUAAAAGUUGUUAUCAACCAGAAGCUUAAAAUCGCAUUUCUUCAAUAUCUAUCGACUUAAAAUAAAGAAAAUGAUACGACUCUGA